UACGUAGGGGGCAAGCGUUGUCCGGAAUUAUUGGGCGUAAAGAGCUCGUAGGCGGUUUGUCGCGUCGAUUGGGAAAACCCGGGGCUCAACCCCGGGCCUGCAUUCGAUACGGGCAGACUAGAGUUCGGUAGGGGAGUCUGGAAUUCCUGGUGUAGCGGUGAAAUGCGCAGAUAUCAGGAGGAACACCGGUGGCGAAGGCGGGACUCUGGGCCGAUACUGACGCUGAGGAGCGAAAGCGUGGGGAGCAAACAGG
rnacentral:rRNA from 1 species